rnacentral:rRNA from 1 species
CGGACGGGUGAGUAACACGUGGAUAACCUACCUAUAAGACUGGGAUAACUUCGGGAAACCGGAGCUAAUACCGGAUAAUAUAUUGAACCGCAUGGUUCAAUAGUGAAAGACGGUUUUGCUGUCACUUAUAGAUGGAUCCGCGCUGCAUUAGCUAGUUGGUAAGGUAACGGCUUACCAAGGCAACGAUGCGUAGCCUACCUGAGAGGGUGAUCGGCCACACUGGAACUGAGACACGGUCCAGACUCCUACGGGAGGCAGCAGCA